AAUGAACGCUGGCGGCAUGCCUAACACAUGCAAGUCGAACGAGACCCCCGUCUUCGGAUGGGUGUCUAGUGGCGCACGGGUGCGUAACGCGUGGGAAUCUGCCCCUUGGUUCGGAAUAACAGCGAGAAAUUGCUGCUAAUACCGGAUAAUGACGUAAGUCCAAAGAUUUAUCGCCUAGGGAUGAGCCCGCGUAGGAUUAGCUAGUUGGUGUGGUAAAGGCGCACCAAGGCGACGAUCCUUAGCUGGUCUGAGAGGAUGAUCAGCCACACUGGGACUGAGACACGGCCCAGACUCCUACGGGAGGCAGCAGUGGGGAAUAUUGGACAAUGGGCGAAAGCCUGAUCCAGCAAUGCCGCGUGAGUGAUGAAGGCCUUAGGGUUGUAAAGCUCUUUUACCCGGGAUGAUAAUGAC
rnacentral:rRNA from 1 species